rnacentral:lncRNA from 1 species
CUUUUUUUUUUUUUGAGACGGAGUCUCUCUCUGUCGCCCAGGGUAGAGUGCAGUGGUGCAAUCCUGGCUCACUGCAACCUCUGCCUCCCAGGUUCAAGUGAUUCUCCUGCCUCAGCUUCCCAAGUAGCUGGGACUACAGGCGUGUGCCACCACGACCAGGAUCUUUCUGCUGAUGCAGCUGUUAAGAGUGUUUCAUAAACUGUGACAACACUAAGCAAAAUCAUAGAAGGAAACUCUAUGGACAAUUUCAGAUGGAGAAGAAGAAAGGACUGGAAGUUCAAUUUGGCCAUGACAAUUAGAGGCCAGGUGCAGUGCAUGUAAUCCCAGCACUUUGGGAGACUGAGAUGGGAAGAUCGCUUGAGGCCAGGAGUGCAAGACCAGCCUGGGCAACACAGCAAGACCUUGAUUCUACUAAAAAAAAAAAAGGAUCCUUCAACUUCAACAAUAAUAACACAAGGGAAGUGAAGAAAAACACUUUCUAAGGAAAUCUCUCUCUGAGCUACCAUCCUGCUAGGGAGAGCCUGAAAGCAGAAUGCUGACUUGACUAGCUCUGGUCAAUGAAAGAAAUCACCAGUGGAAAGGCUACCAGGGGGCUUUCUCAAAAGAGAGGGACA